GCAUGCAAGUCGAACGGAGUUAUUUAGCUUGCUAGAUGACUUAGUGGCGAAAGGGUGAGUAAUAUAUGGAUAAUCUGCCCUCAAGUUGGGGAUAACUAUCAGAAAUGGUAGCUAAUACCCGAUGUGAAUAUUGGUCUUCGGACUUUAUAUUUAAAGAUUUAUUGCUUGAGGAUGAGUCCAUAUCCCAUUAUGCUAGUUGGUAAGGUAAUGGCUUACCAAGGCGAUGACGGGUAGGUGGUCUGAGAGGAUGGUCACCCACACUGGGACUGAGACACUGCCCAGACUCCUACGGGAGGCUGCAGUCGAGAAUCUUCCGCAAUGUGCGAAAGCAUGACGGAGCGAUGUCGCGUGAGGGACGAAGGCUUUCAAGUCGUAAACCUCUGUCAGAGGGGAAGAACAAUGACGGUACCCUCAGAGGAAGCCACGGCUAACUACGUGCCAGCAGCCGCGGUAAUACGUAGGUGGCGAGCAUUAUUCGGAUUUACUGGGCGUAAAGCGUCAGUAGGGGGUGAAGAAAGUUUGAUGUGAAAUCCAAUGGCUCAACCAUUGAACUGCAUUGAAUACUCCUUCACUAGAGAUCAAGAGAGGUAAGCGGAAUUUAUGGUGUAGCGGUGGAAUGCAUAGAUAUCAUAAGGAAGACCAAAGGCGAAAGCAGCUUACUAGUUUGAGUCUGACCCUCAGUGACGAAGGUUAGGGGAGCGAAAAGGAUUAGAUACCCUUGUAGUCCUAACAGUAAACGAUGUACACUCGAUGUUGGAACAUUAGUUUCAGUUUCCAAGCUAACGCGUUAAGUGUACCGCCUGGGGAGUACGAUCGCAAGAUUAAAACUCAAAGGAAUUGACGGGGACCCGCACAAGCAGUGGAGCAUGUGGCUUAAUUCGAGGAUACGCGAAGAACCUUACCUAGGUUUGACAUGCUUUUGACCGCCUGAGAAAUCAGGCUUCUCUUCGGAGCAACUGCACAGGUGCUGCAUGGCUGUCGUCAGCUCGUGCUGUGAAGUGUUCGGUUAAGUCCGGUAACGAGCGCAACCCAUAUUGUUUAGUUGCUAACAGGUUAAGCUGAGUACUUUAACAAGACUGCCCACUUAAAG
rnacentral:rRNA from 1 species